rnacentral:lncRNA from 1 species
AUAAAACUGUUGGACUACAAUAAUGAUAUUACAGGAGGAACAGCAUCCAAAUGUGAUGCAUAAACUAAUAUUUUCUUGAGAAGAAAAUCUAAACUAAAAUCAUCCAUCAACAUCCCUACAACUUAACUAAAACUAAUCCCACAACUUGCGGAUUAUUUUCUUGAAAGCAUCCAUCAUCAUCAUCAUCAUCAUCAUCAUUGCAGUGUACUUGUUACGCACCCAUAUAAUCAUCCAUAUAUCUUUUCAAUCUACAAAGAAAAUAACAAAAUGAAUUGUUAACACAUAGUGCAUUGACAUGAUGCAAGUAGUGAUAAAGGCAAGAUAUUAGACACAUACAAAGGUUGAAGGCCAGGCAAUAUAUAUUUUUUCUGCAUUAACAAAUACCAAUAGUAUUGCAGUUUUUGCGACUCUGUACCAAAUCUGCAGUUUUCGCAAGUGUUGUAUUGCGCUGUCCAAAAUGCAUUUUAAUUUCAGCACCAUCAAGUUUAAACUUAGGAGCAUAACUUAGAACUGUAGCAAGAAUUACGUCCCUGUUAUGAUUCUGAAAAUGUACCGGCAUGAGUAUUAGCGAUCAUUGAUGACUAAUCCAGACACCACAAUAUACGACAUAGCCUGCAGAACAACAUGGCUCAAUAACAUUAUAUGGACAGUAGCCUAUGGGCUGUUGUGCAUUCAAUGGCGCUGUGAGUUACAGCACUACUUCUCUUCUCUUCUCCAUUAAUUAGCAAACUGAACCAAAACAGUUUGUCAUCUCAAACUGAACCAAAACAUUUAGCUCUAGUUGGUUUCAGUCAUCCAACAGGAAAUAGACAAACCUACAGGUGCUCACCGUGCUUUGGAACGAUCGUACAGCCCCAAAUCCACUAAAACGGAUUUACUCAUCACCAGCCUAGAGAUCCAUUGCUAAUUUUGUAAACCUACAGUCAAACAGUUUUGUGUGAACCGACAGAUUUAUUUGCUAAAUAUAUCUACUGAAGCCUACAGCCCCAAAUCCUAUAAAUUUGCAUUGACAGCAGCAUAGAACCUAGCAUGGCUCAAUGGUCAUGGACACAACGAGCAGUAGUACAGUAGGGAGAGGGAGAGUGUAUACCUUCCAUGGUGUCUCCCUACAUCAAGUUGGUGCAUGCAGCUGCAAAGCCAAGGGGAAAAGGUUACAGGUUUCUCAUGCAUCUCUAGAACGGCGCAACACAAGUAAAGCUUCAUCAAGUUCCAUUCCUACUUAAUAAAAGAAGAGAAUAUAUAUUCGUCCCAUCUUGGCAACUUUACAUCUUACUCAAUAAAUGUAUCCCUGAGUUAGUUAGACUAGUCAUCAACCAGUGUGUUUGCACGACAAUUUUAGUUUGCCAUGUAUAACUAGAACAUUUUUAUGAAAGAAAAAAAAUAAAACCAUAAAUUUUCAAAGAAGCAUACUUUUAACUAAUUGAGAAAUAUUACAUGUGAUACUCUGUUGGCUUCAAUGUGGCUGACAUAAAUUAAUUUUAAUGAAGCAUUUAUACAUACUGUUUAUCAUUCCUAUAAAUAAACUUUCCCAAUUAUAAUUUAUAUUUAAAAGUCUGGGAUCUGGGGUUAGUAAAUAUAUAGAGGAUAUUACUGAAUAUUGUGAUUUCCUUUAAUUACAUAGCAGUAGCCUAAAUCUUGUGCGCUCCUAAAAUUAGCUAUCUAGGAACCCCAAAUGGAUCCCAUGCUUUAGUGAGUUCGCGUACAAAAAGGAAACCACACUUUCUAGUUAGCAAAAAAGAAAAACUAAAGCUAAUGUACAGGAAUAUCUGUCUUAUAUAAUGUUUUCUGAAAUGAACACAUACAUCACUCAAAUCUUCUACAUAAGAAACACAUCCAAUGAUUAUGUUACGGUUGGCUGGAGGCAGCAGUGCAACGCUACUGUUUGGAACUUUGAUUAUGUGGUGCUGCUGGAGGCGACCAGAGCUGCAGACCACCCCAACUGGAUGCUUUCACUCCCUACAACACAAUCGAGUCAAGAGGAGUACUCAUCAAGACAUGUGUACAAAACAGAUUUUUUUCUUAAUAAAACAAUAGUGAUAAAGUCGAUUGUAUAGUUCUUUCGUCUUUAUGAGCUUAAAGCAUGGAGAAUAGAACACAAAUCGCCACACCGCCAUUUCCUUCACUUGAAAGCCUCGCCGCAAAAGACGCCCGCGGGUGCCUAGUCUGCUUCAAACUGCCGUUGCUACACCUCCGC